GCUUCUUCCUGUUUGCUGUUUCCUGUUUGAUGAAUUUCAAAAUAAACUGGGGUCUGAGGUCUCGUGUGGUACUUGUGUUUUAAGUGGUGAUUUGUAUGUAAUUUAUAAUUUAUAAUGUACUUUUGAUAAAACUAAAGUCAUUUUCAUCGUAGGUUUUGAUUAUAUUCUUAUUCAAAAUGCUAGUUUUAUUUGAAACGCCGGCAGGCUAUGCAUUUUUCAAGUUACUCGACAAAAAAGCGAUAGAAAAGACAGAUAAUCUUUACAAAGAUUUCGCCACGCCUGAACAAGCUAGCAAAAUAGUCAAGCUCAAACAUUUCGAGAGCUUUGCAAAUACCGCUGAAGCAUUAGAAGCUACCACAGCGGUAUUGGAAGGGAAAGUCACUAAGAAACUGCGCAAGGUUUUGAAGAAAGUGUUGGGUGAUGCGACCGAUGAGCUGCUAGUAUCUGAUGCGAAACUCGGCGGUGCCAUAAAGGAGAAGUUGAAUCUGUCCUGUGUGACGAACACGGCGGUCAGUGAGUUGAUGCGAUGCAUUCGCUCGCAGACGGACGCGCUCCUCGCUGAAACCGAGAAAAAGGAUUUGAGUGCCAUGAAACUAGGUUUGGCCCACAGCUUAUCAAGGUACAAAUUGAAAUUUAGUGCUGAUAAAGUGGAUACAAUGAUCGUUCAAGCUAUAUGCCUCCUUGACGAACUCGACAAGGAGUUGAACAACUAUAUUAUGAGAUGCCGGGAAUGGUAUGGGUGGCAUUUCCCUGAACUUGGGAAAAUCAUUACUGAUAAUUUAGCUUUCGUCAAGGUGGUAAAGCUAAUAGGAACGCGAGAAAACGUGAAAAAUACCGACCUUUCUGAUAUUCUGCCUGAUGACAUUGAAGAACAGGUGAAAGCAGCGGCUGAGAUUUCGAUGGGCACAGAAAUAGCAGAUGACGAUAUAGUAAACAUUCAAAACCUCUGCGACCAGGUCAUCGAAAUAUCUUCAUACCGAACUGAACUCUACGAAUACUUGAAAGCAAGAAUGAUGGCAAUUGCUCCAAAUCUCACCGUUCUAAUGGGCGAACUGAUUGGCGCCAGACUCAUUUCUCAAGCUGGAUCUUUAAUAAAUUUGGCGAAACACCCAGCUUCUACUGUGCAGAUUCUUGGUGCUGAGAAAGCUCUGUUCAGAGCUUUGAAAACCAAAAAAGAUACACCCAAGUAUGGUUUGAUAUACCAUUCGCAAAUCGUUGCCCAGAGCAGUGCUAAGAACAAGGGAAAGGCUUCUCGAAUGUUGGCUGCGAAGGCAGCUUUGGCGUCCAGGGUUGACGCCCUGGGUGAGGGGACGUCGAUGGACCUGGGAACCGAACACAGAGCCAAACUGGAGACCAGGUUGAGAUUGCUGGAAGAGGGCAAUCUGCGCAGGAUUUCUGGCACAGCCAAGGCUAAGGCCAAAUUCGAAAAGUAUCACGGAAAGAGUGAGGUUAAACAGUAUCCUUCAGCAGCCGACUCCACUAUGGGAAAGAGAAAGUUGAUUGAGGACAUAACUCCCGAUGCCCCGAAAAAGAAGAAGAUCAAAACUGAAUCUGGUGAAGAGGUUGAGAUAAAACAAGAAGAAGAAGAGGGUGAGCAAAGACCAGGUGGAGAAGAAUCAGCAAAGAAGAAGAAGAAAAAGAAGAAAUCGCUCUCUGAAGAAGGUGCUAUUGAUGCAAGUGUCGAGGUUGAACCUGUACAAGAAGAAGGAGGCUCGCCGAAGAAAAAGAAAAAGAAGAACAAGAAGAUCAAAGAAGAACCGACAGAAUAAUCUUGUAGGAAUAUUUUUGCAGAUUCCUAUGUAUCAUAUUUUAUCUAUAUUUUUUCUGUAUGAGAAAACUUUUUACAUUAGAAGUGACAUUACAUUAGAUAAGUGAACUGAAUUUUUUUUUACUUCAAGAACAAUACUGUUUACAUUCUCAUUUUUUCUUGAAAGAUUUAAACUUAAAAAUGUAAAUGUAUAAAUAGAAAUACAAAUCUCAGUACCCUUUUUGACUUGAAAAUGGCAUGAAUGUCUGUCAGAUACAUGUUGUGAUAAAAUAAUUCAAAAAGGGUACUGAGAUUUGUAUUUCUAUUUAUAUAAACAGAAAAGAGACAAUGUAAAUGUAAUAUGUAAACUCACGCUGAAAUGUAAAAGAUACAUUUUAGUGGGUUGAUUACUAGACCGUACUAACGUGCAAGACGUUUGAAAACACAUUUCGAAAAUGAUCAUGUUCUUUCUUAAAAUGUGGAUAAAUGAGAAUGUCGUUCAUAUAAACAAAGCAAAACUCUUAACCACGUAAAACUUCGUUCAUGGAUAUUUGGAAACGUUGUCCAGCAUCUGGAAGUUCAAAAGUAAUGAAUGGAAAUUCGAAGAGGCAAACUUGUGUAACUAUUGCAGUUUUACCAAUAUCUCCUUGACUGGUGUUUGUUGACAAGCCUUGUCUUGGUCGAUCUUCGAAAAUAUGUUACAUCCUUCGAUAAAAUGAGUGGCAUCUUGAAUGUGACUUACAAUAUAACAAUCUGGAAUUGUUUCAAUAAUCGCACCUGCAAGAAUCGCCACGGACACAAUGAUGAGUCACUUCCUGGUGCUAAUUGUAAUGAAGACGAAGGACGAGCUGUUGCAGAUUUAACAUGUCAUCAAAUUCUUUUCGAACAAUUUUCAACUUUUCGGGACAUAACCGGCAAUCUUUACUUGUAACUUGUUGGUCCAGGAUUCGUUGUGAAUUUGAUGAUCAGUCUCAUGUUUUAUAUCUUGCGGUAAACCAGAUGGGCGAGCUACCUCUGAAAACUCAAAAAAAGAGAGUAGAAUAGAUUUAAGAAUCUUGAAUUGUUUUAAUGUUUUCCUGUGGAAGGAAUUGAGCCUUAAGCUUCAAGUCCGAUAGAAGCAUCGGGUAGAUCUUCUGGGUGUCACCCCGUCAGGAUGACACCUCUGAAACCGGUUCUUGGAGGUGACCGGUUGACGCCGACAAAUUGUCUCCUCUCUAAGGGGGUGACAUGCUGACGGGGGGACGCGAGCGAGCAGGUGAAACUGUGUCGUGCACGGCAACGAGAAGAUGUCCCCAAGAUUCCAAUAGGAGCCAUACAAAAGAGUUGCCAAGACUAAUGUUUUCAUUCAAUCUCAAAGUUUGAAAGGGGUACGCAACUUGGGUCUACUUAGUAUUCACUAACUGGAGAUUAAUACAAGAAAAAACAUCUAAUUAGACAAGAAUUGUAGGGAAUUUUAUUCUCUUCAAGCUUCUUUGUCUCAAAUUCAAAUUUGACCAUUGCGUUUGAUUGAAAAGUGUCGACCACGACAGGGUGAGGAUCUCAGAUUGGGUGGAUUUCAAUCUGUCUAAAUAGCCUAAAAUAUGUUUUAAUUUUGUUUUAAUAGGUGAGGUUUAGUUUAUACUUGUUUUACUUUCAAAUGGCAUAAUGAUGAUAUUAGAAAUGUUUGAUUCUUGAAUAAUAAACACAAAUAAUGAAAAGUUAUUUGAUCAGCUUUAAAGUUUAAGCACACUUGAAAUUUGGACAAUAUGAAUGUCAACAAUGCUUGUCGUCGUCGACUGCGGAAAUUUACGCACAAACGAAAAUACACCUUAAGAAGGUGACAUGCUGACGCAAGCGAGCAAGGUGAUACUCUGUCGUGUACGGUCCGACAGGAUGGAACCUGCCAUUCCAGUAGGUAACAUGCUGUCGGGGGGACAACUUUACGGUAGCGAUAAUUUUCUCAAGGAGAUACAGCUUAUAAUCUGUCUGUCGCCUGUGCUCAAAAUGUUGAGAUGACAAGUAGACGUGAUUACUACACCCUGUGGCGUACCCGAAGCAUCAAUUAUGUGUUUUGUGCGAAAUGAAUAUUAGUUUUUAUUUUCUACAUUCAAUUUAUUUUCAUUAUAAAACAACUUCUAGUUUGAAAAGGGUACUGUGAUUGUUAAUUGUUAUGUAUAUGAGAACAGCUUUUACAUUAGAAAGUAGUGUAACAAUAAGUGAAGUGAAUAUGUUUUUCUCCGAUAACAAAACUAUACUGAAAGUUUGUUGUUACGGCAUUCAUAAAUACUGAAUGUAUGCUAACACGACGUCACAUGUUCAAUAGCUAACUAAAAAUACUGUACUAGUGUAUAGUUUGAUAAAAAAUAUGGUCGAUUUCCAUCAUCAUUUUGAAAGUGAAACUAUUCUAGUUUUAGAAAGUUUUGAUGGGGUUUCUAGAAUUUUCACCCUUUCAGCUCUCAAUCAUGUUUGAAUCAAAUUGUUGAUGUGUUGUUUUCUUUCAACUGUAUAAUAAUCUAUUUACUUAGAUCGGCUUAUUAAUUUUGACUGAUGGUUUAAUUUUGGGGAAAUUCCCAAGAGAUUUUUAAAGAUUUAUACUAGAGAUCGAAAUCAAAUGAAACAGAUAAUAAAUAGUGAGACAGAAUGAUGUUGAUUGUCAAGAAAAUUAUUUUUCAAUAAUAGCCAUCAUGUUUGUAAAUAAUAUCAAUGCCUAUGUUUUUAUUUGGUACUUUCAGUUUUUAUUAUGAAAAUUAUAAAGUUUAGCAUAUUUA
rnacentral:misc_RNA from 1 species